UAUCAUUUGGAAGGGAAAUCUGGCCACAAAACUGUUAUGUUAAGCACUUUUCCACAGGAACUUAUUGCUUUAAUAAGUUGGGAGAAUGCUCUUGAAGAAAAAAAAUAGUCGUUGAAGAUUCAUUAGAGGAAGAAAAAAAAACCUACUUGAUUCUCCAUGGAAUUCACAGUUUCCUUGCUGUGGAAUGCUGCACAUACCCUGAGGUCCUAGCAAGGAGUCAGAGUGAGACAGCCACUCACCAGCGGAAAGAGAAUUUUAUGUUCUCAGGCACAGCACAGAAUGAUGAAAGUGUGUAUACCCGGCAGUACUUCCAAUAUCCCCGUGGACUGGGGAUUCCAAGAUAAACAACGCCUCACGCAGCUUGACUGGACUCAGCUGGGUAGUUCUCGAUUGGGAUCUUCAUGAAGUUACAGUCAUUUGGCAACCAGAACUGGAGUCACCUGAAGAAUUGGAUGGGCUGCGUGUUCAAGAGAGCUACUUUACUCACAUUACUGGGCCAACAGGGCUUGCCCUUUAAACUGAAGACCCAUGGAGGUCAAACUUCAGGUCGAAAUCCAGAGUGGAGGUGAAGAGAGAAGGCCAAUUCGUGGGCGCCAGAAGCACCCGGCCAUGGAGGGAAUGAACUUUUACCUGGACCUCACAAGAGGAAAACAAAUGAUCCAGCUCCUCAAAAUCUGAUAGCGGCACCAAAAUAAAUUCAAGUCUUUGCUUCUUUCAAAACACUGACAUACUGAUCCUUCGAACGACAUGUGUUUAAGAACAACCAAGAGGAGGAAAAAAUCCCCCUGCAACAUUUGUCUUCUGAACUUUGAGCUGAUUAUUUUUCUUCCACAUGGCCUGGGGUCUUAGAAAGGACACCCUUUUGGUAAGAUGGAACAUGACAUCGGCAAGUUCGAGCUACUGGUGACAUGGACAGGAAAAAGGAUUGUGCUUAGAGAAAGCAGUUUCAGCCAAAGAGAAAUAUCAGGGGGUCAAAUAGAGAAAGGAAACCAAAUCAUAAUGCGUUCUCAUUAAAAAUUGGCCAAGUCUCUUACAAUUCAAAGUUGACCAGAUAGAAUGUUCUCUCCUCAUGAAUCUGUGCAGUCAGACCUCAGAAUGUGUUGACACUAUGGAAGAUAGAAUAUGCUGAAACCCAAAAUAAAGCUGAGAAGCAAAAGUUAGGUCUAAACAAGAAAAAACAAGUAGUCUUCAAAAAGAUUAGAGGCAAAACUUGGUGGGCAGAAAAUAUGACCAUUUCUUCUGAAAAACAGAGCAAAAUAAAAAAUGCGGGAGACACCCAUUAAGGAGCCCAUCCCUAAUCAUUCUUAUCAGCAUCAAGCUGAUCUCAGGAUUCUCCCUCUGGCGUAGCCUCGACCACAAUUUCUCUCUCAAAACAGAGCCACUUCGGCACGGUUAGUUCUGAAAAGCCUUUCUUGAUUGUUUCCACAAAAAUGAAUAAAAAUUUAUCCUUAGUUCAUAUUGAGACCUUUAGGACAAGGACCUCAGCUCCACAGUUCCUGAGUGGUUAUUCUGUAAUUUUCUAACUUGAUUCCUAAGAUAUCAAAAAUAAAUUCAACCUUAUAAGUAAUUUGUUUCUUUUUUUGUCUUUCAGAAUUAAAUUACUAUAUUAUU